CGCUAGCUACAGGCUUAACACAUGCAAGUCGAGGGGCAGCAUUUUAGUUUGCUUGCAAACUAAAGAUGGCGACCGGGGCACGGGUGAGUAACACGUAUCCAACCUGCCGAUAACUCGGGGAUAGCCUUUCGAAAGAAAGAUUAAUAUCCGAUAGUAUAUUAAAACCGCAUGGUUUUACUAUUAAAGAAUUUCGGUUAUCGAUGGGGAUGCGCUCCAUUAGUUUGUUGGCGGGGUAACGGCCCACCAAGACUACGAUGGAUAGGGGUUCUGAGAGGAAGGUCCCCCACAUUGGAACUGAGACACGGUCCAAACUCCUACGGGAGGCAGCAGUGAGGAAUAUUGGUCAAUGGACGAGAGUCUGAACCAGCCAAGUAGCGUGAAGGAUGACUGCCCUAUGGGUUGUAAACUUCUUUUAUAUGGGAAUAAAGUAUUCCACGUGUGGGAUUUUGUAUGUACCAUAUGAAUAAGGAUCGGCUAACUCCGUGCCAGCAGCCGCGGUAAUACGGAGGAUCCGAGCGUUAUCCGGAUUUAUUGGGUUUAAAGGGAGCGUAGGUGGAUUGUUAAGUCAGUUGUGAAAGUUUGCGGCUCAACCGUAAAAUUGCAGUUGAAACUGGCAGUCUUGAGUACAGUAGAGGUGGGCGGAAUUCGUGGUGUAGCGGUGAAAUGCUUAGAUAUCACGAAGAACUCCGAUUGCGAAGGCAGCUCACUAGACUGCAACUGACACUGAUGCUCGAAAGUGUGGGUAUCAAACAGGAUUAGAUACCCUGGUAGUCCACACAGUAAACGAUGAAUACUCGCUGUUUGCGAUAUACAGUAAGCGGCCAAGCGAAAGCAUUAAGUAUUCCACCUGGGGAGUACGCCGGCAACGGUGAAACUCAAAGGAAUUGACGGGGGCCCGCACAAGCGGAGGAACAUGUGGUUUAAUUCGAUGAUACGCGAGGAACCUUACCCGGGCUUAAAUUGCAUUUGAAUAAUCUGGAAACAGGUUAGCCGCAAGGCAAAUGUGAAGGUGCUGCAUGGUUGUCGUCAGCUCGUGCCGUGAGGUGUCGGCUUAAGUGCCAUAACGAGCGCAACCCUUAUCUUUAGUUACUAACAGGUCAUGCUGAGGACUCUAGAGAGACUGCCGUCGUAAGAUGUGAGGAAGGUGGGGAUGACGUCAAAUCAGCACGGCCCUUACGUCCGGGGCUACACACGUGUUACAAUGGGGGGUACAGAAGGCAGCUACCUGGCGACAGGAUGCUAAUCCCAAAAACCUCUCUCAGUUCGGAUCGAAGUCUGCAACCCGACUUCGUGAAGCUGGAUUCGCUAGUAAUCGCGCAUCAGCCAUGGCGCGGUGAAUACGUUCCCGGGCCUUGUACACACCGCCCGUCAAGCCAUGAAAGCCGGGGGUACCUGAAGUACGUAACCGCAAGGAGCGUCCUAGGGUAAAACUGGUAAUUGGGGC
rnacentral:rRNA from 1 species